GCCGUUAUAGUAUAGUGGUCAGUACACUUCGUUGUGGCCGAAGAGACCCAGGUCCGAUUCCUGGUAACGGCA
rnacentral:tRNA from 1 species